GCUAGCGCAAAACAAAAUUUUUCUACCGCGUAAACCAGGAAAACUGUCGUAUAUGGAUCACAAGAUUACCACUCGACGCACUAGUGUGGAAGAUGUAGAAUCACGUCGGGGCAGUGAAGUCGAUCAGCGUAGUCGAACACGUAGUCGAUCAUGUCGACGUCGAGCAGCUCCUCAGUAGCUCGUCUACGUGUGGCAAGAUCGUCCUCGUGCCGCGGCUCGUCGUUGGCUCGUCGUGGCUCGUCGGCGGCUUGUCCAAGUGCUGCAGGUGCAACACCUCCAAGGUAUCCACACAUGUAGGGAGGAAGCGUCGCA
rnacentral:lncRNA from 1 species